GUACGUCCCUCUCGUAUCUCUUAUUACAGUGUCAAUUUCUGAAUUGGCAAAUAGACUAUUAAAUAAUUAGAAAAUAUUAUCGAAUAAUAAAUCAAGUUAUGUCUGGUUAUAAUCAAUCGAAUGAAUUUAUAAUCGUAUUGUCAGUAUACCUUGUGCAGUUCAAUUUUGCCAGUGUUGAGCUCGACCAUGGAACUUUCAUCCAAAAGGGAUAUUGAGUCGUCAUCUGAUUUCACAUCGUUUAAUGUGGAUAAAGAAAGAGAAGUGGAAGUUCUCCAUAUGAAAAUAGUCAUAGAUGCAAAGAAUCAUGAAAAUGAAAAGGAAUGCAUAUACAGAGAAAAAAAUGGACAAAUUGAAAAAAUUAAAUCAGAAAACGAUAAUUUAAAAGAAGAGAUGGGGAGCAUAACCGACAAAAUCAAACAGUUAGAAUUGGCUAACAGUAGAAAAGAUAAAGAGAUUGAAGAAAGAAAAAGGCGUGAAAAGGAAUUAAAGAAGGACAUUCAGAGGUUAGAAAAAGAUUCAAUAGUACACAAAGAACAGAAAAAAGAAAUAAAACGUCUCAAGGAUGAAUUAAUGCAAGUUCGUCUUGACUUGCAGCAAAUAAAAUUGGAAAAGGACGAAGUACAAGUUCUGCUUAAAACACAUAUUGAAGAGGAAAAGUCUCGAGACAACAAAAUGAUGGACAGCUUAAAAAUGCAACAAAGGAAAGAAUCAAAAGAUCUUCGAAAAGGUUUGGAAAAUGAAUUUAAGGAUCUUCGAAAAGGUUUGGUCAAUGAAGUCGUUGCUGGGGUUGCAGCUGCAAUUACAAAUCCUGGAAGUGACAGCAGACCGAAUUCAAAACAGAGCACAGUUUGCAAGCCGGCAUCUUUCGAUCCAAAAUUUUAAGAUUAAUAUGAAA